AGCCUGAACGCUGGCGGCGUGGCUAAGACAUGCAAGUCGUACGGAGGUAGCAAUACCUCAGUGGCGAACGGGUGAGUAAUGAAUCGCUAACGUGCCCUGGACUUCGGGAUAGCUAUCCGAAAGGGUAGGUAAUACCGGGUGAUAUACCCUUUCCGCAUGGAAGGGGUCUCAAAGGUCCGCCGGUCUUCGGUGGAUGGUCUGGGAGCGGGCGAUUUCGUAUCAGCUAGUUGGUGGGGUAACGGCCCACCAAGGCGACGACGCGUAGCCGGACUGAGAGGUUGGCCGGCCACAUUGGGACUGAGACACUGCCCAGACUCCUACGGGGGGCUGCAGUAACGAAUCUUCCGCAAUGCACGAAAGUGUGACGGAGCGACGCCGCGUGGAGGACGAAGUUCUUCGGAAUGUAAACUCCUGUCAGGGGAAAGAAAGUUCUGAUCUACCCCAGAGGAAGAGGCGGCUAACUCUGCGCCAGCAGCCGC
rnacentral:rRNA from 1 species